UACCAGCACCCCGAGUGGUCGGGACGAUUAUUGGGCCUAAAGCAUCCGUAGCCGGUUCUACAAGUCUUCCGUUAAAUCCACCUGCUCAACAGAUGGGCUGCGGAGGAUACUAUAGAGCUAGGAGGCGGGAGAGGCAAGCGGUACUUAGUGGGUAGGGUUAAAAUCCGUUGAUCCAUUGAAGACCACCAGUGGCGAAGGCGGCUUGCCAGAACGCACUCGACGGUGAGGGAUGAAAGCUGGGGGAGCAAACCGG
rnacentral:rRNA from 1 species